AUUGAACGCUGGCGGCAGGCCCAACACAUGCAAGUCGAACGAGUGGCGGACGGGUGAGUAAUGUCUGGGAAACUGCCCGAUGGAGGGGGAUAACUUCUGGAAAUGGUCGCUAAUACCGCAUACUAACGGAUGCGCCCAUAUGGGAUUAGCUAGUAGGUGGGGUAACGGCACACCUAGGCGACGACCCCUAGCUGGUCUGAGAGGACGACCAGCCACACUGGAACUGAGACACGGUCCAGAAUCCUACGGGAGGCAGCAGUGGGGAAUAUUGCACAAUGGGCUCAAGCCUGAUGCAGCCAUGCCGCGUGUAUGAAGAAGGCCUUCGGGUUGGAAAGUACUUUCAGCGGGGAGGCGUUACUCGCAGAAGAAGCACCGGCUAACUCCGUGCCAGCAGCCGCGGUAAUAC
rnacentral:rRNA from 1 species